UUUUAGGGAGACCUACACCCCUUAGAUAUCGAAAAACACACAGUUAAAUAGAUAGUAAGUUGGUCUAACCUAGGUCGGUCGAGAAUUGGUAUAAAGCUUUCAAAGUAUUAAUGGUUCAGAAUAUUAAACAGAAAAGUGAUUGAGAGUUCAGCAACGUGACUUAAUUGAAGUCAGACUGCUGAGUUAGUUCUCAGCCAGAACCUUGAAAACUGCAUAGUAACGCGAAAUUAGCAGGCAGACACAGACAUUCUUUAUGGAUGUUGUAGUGAAUGCAUUAUGUGAAACACCAAAUGAAUUGAGU
rnacentral:misc_RNA from 1 species